AACGUAGGAGCCAAGCGUUAUCCGAAUUCACUGGGCGUAAAGCGCGUGCAGGCGGCCUGAUAAGUUGGAUGUGAAAGCUCCCGGCUCAACUGGGAGAGGACGUUCAAUACUGUCAGGCUGGAGGGCAGCAGAGGGAGGUGGAAUUCCCGGUGUAGUGGUGAAAUGCGUAGAUAUCGGGAGGAACACCAGUGGCGAAGGCGACCUCCUGGGCUGUACCUGACGCUAAGAUGCGAAAGCUAGGGGAGCGAACGGG
rnacentral:rRNA from 1 species